UCUCCGUUGGUGAACCAGCGGAGGGAUCAUUACCGAAGUUACCUUCAAAACCCACUGUGAACCUUACCUCUUGCCGCGUUGUCUCGGCGGGAGGCGGUGUGCGUGGCGCGCCCUCGCGGGCCGUGCCGCCCCCGUCCCCGCCGGCAGCGCCAAACUCUAAAUGCACAGCGGACUGUACGUUCUGAUUUACAAAAAAAACAAGUUAAAACUUUCAACAACGGAUCUCUUGGUUCUG
rnacentral:misc_RNA from 1 species